AGAGAGUAGAAUGGUAGUUGCCCGAAGGUGGGGGCAUCUGUGGAGUUAUUGCUUAAAGGGUCACUAAACAUCCAACUCUCAAAUGACAUCUUCAUUUCAAUUUUGAUUGAGUAGCCAUAGAUAAUAGGGUGUCUUUUUUAAAAAUAAGCAUCAUUGGUUAAGAUUGGAGCCAAGGACUUUCACUUCCUGGAAAAAAACUACAAGAAACCAAGACUUGAUAAGGCUGCCAGUGAUAAGGACAGAAAUGCUAG